rnacentral:misc_RNA from 1 species
UACAGACCCAAAAGUGAACACCUGUAGGUAACAACAAUCAUGGGUAAAUUUCGGCGUAAAGAUACAUGCACUUCUGCAACGAUGAAAACUGAAAGCAUCAGUCCAACAUCACCACCAAAAAUAAGAAUACUAAAGUCACUGCCACGUUAUAAUCAAUACUGUUCACAUGUUUGGUCUCAAUCUCAGGUCUAUUUUUCUUUCCAAUUUACAACAUUAG